rnacentral:tRNA from 1 species
ACUCUCUUAGUAUAACGCACAGUACAACUGACUUCCAAUCAGCCAGCCCCAGAA